CCUANGGGGGGCAGCAGUGGGGAAUAUUGCGCAAUGGGGGAAACCCUGACGCAGCGACGCCGCGUGGAGGAUGAAGGUCUUCGGGUUGUAAACUCCUUUUCUUGGGAAAGAUAAUGACGGUACCCAAGGAAUAAGCCACGGCUAACUCUGUGCCAGCAGCCGCGGUAAGACAGAGGUGGCGAGCGUUGUUCGGAAUUACUGGGCUUAAAGGGCGAGUAGGCGGUGGAGCAAGUCUGAGGUGGAAUCUUAGGGCUUAACCCUAAAACUGCCUUAGAAACUGUUUUACUUGAGUCAGUGAGGGGAGGGCGGAAUUCCUGGUGUAGCGGUGAAAUGCGUAGAUAUCAGGAGGAAGGCCUGUGGCGAAGGCGGCCCUCUGGCACUGUACUGACGCUGAGGCGCGAAAGCGUGGGUAGCAAACAGGAUUAGAUACCCUGNUANUC
rnacentral:rRNA from 1 species